GAAACUAGGUUCCCUUUCUUCUUCUUCUUCUUCUUCUUCUUCUUCUUCUUCUCUUGCUGUUGCUGAUCUACCUCUGUACAGUCCAACUGUCUUCAUAAAAUCAAUUUAAAGAUUGAAGAUUUUUUUUUCUUUUAAACUCUAUGAAGAUGCUUCCCUGGAGUCUAGAUGGUAGCUGAUGUUCACCAUUUUGCACGAUCAAGUCACAAACUGAUGGAUAUCCAAAGACAAGAACAUCCACUUGUACUCAAUGAAGCUGCUGAGCAAUUGAUCUCUCAGAAUGGCAGUCAAGAUGCCCAUGAUACUAUGCAAGCAAGUGGGGAUUUUACGAUGUCAGUAGAUUUUGGAGUUUCCACUGAUUUUGUAUUUGAGACUCCAAAACUUGGUAUGGUCUUCCAAUCAGAUAAUCACGCAUAUGAGUUUUAUUAUCGAUAUGCUAGAUCUUUGGGUUUCAGUGUUCGCAAGAAUUCAUCAACCCAUCGUGCAAAUAAGACAAUUUCGAGGAGAGUUUUUUGUUGUUCCAAAGAAGGUUUUCGCUGUCCACAUUCAAGAGGCCCUCCUGUGAAAUCGAGGCCCCAAACACGAACCGACUGUAAGGCGCGUCUUAUUAUCAAAUUACAAGAUGAUGGAAGAUAUUCCGUGGUAGAGUUUAUUAAAAAACAUAACCAUGAGCUUUCACCUCCUUCAGAAGUUCAUACGGUGAGGUCACAACAGAAAUUACCACAUUCACAAGCUGGCGGACUGAUUGAAGAUAUUCAUUUAGGAAGUAUAGGAUCCCCGAGUAUUUAUUCAUGUACUGCCAGUUUAGAUGAUGCAGGAGCUCAAGAUCUCAACUUUAUGCAAGUGGAUUGUAAUAAUUACCUAUUCAGAAAGAGCCGUAAUGAAAUUCUUGAAAACGGAGACGCACAAUUUCUCUUAGACUACUUCAAGCAAAAGCAAAAAGAUGAUCCUUAUUUCUUCUACGCAAUACGGAUGUGUAGCAAUAACCAGUUGUCCAGUUCUUUUUGGUGUGAUGCUAAGUCAAGGAUAGACUAUAGCUACUUCAGUGAUGUGGUGUGCUUCGAUACUACAUAUAAACUAAACGAUUGCAACAAACCCUAUGCAUCAUUUGUUGGCGUGAACAAUCAUGGGAAAUUUAUUCUCUUUGGGUGUGCACUUAUAUUAGAUGAAACAACGGAGUCGUUAGCAUGGUUAUUUGGAGCUUUUCUGGAUGCCAUGAAUGGCAAACAACCGAAAACAGCCUUUACAGACCCAGCUCUUUCUCUGUCAGAGGCGAUUAGACAGGUAUGGCCAAACACACAUCAUCAGAUAGGUUUAUGGCACAUUUAUGAAGAAGCAAAGAAGCACCUCGCUGACAUGUUUGAAAACUUCAAGUCCUUCAAAAUUGAUUUUGAGAGUUGCAUUUAUGAGAGUGAGACAGAGGAAGAGUUCCAAUCCAGGUGGAAUUCAUUUAUCGGAAAAUAUAGUCUGGCACAGAACGAAUGGUUGCAAGGUAUAUACCAUAUGCGAGAGAAAUUGGGGCAUGUAUAUGGAUGGGAAUACUUUUGUGCAGGUCUUUCAUCUGAUCAAGGAAGUGCUGGUAUGAACAAGUUUCUUAAGAAGUAUUUCAAGAGAACUAUACCAUUGCAUGAGUUUGUAGUUAUGUAUGAGAAAGUAUUAAUGAUUCUGCGCGAGAAGGCAAAACAUCAAGAUUCUUAUUCUAGGCAAACAAAACCAGAUUUGCACACAAUGUGGCCUGCGGAAGCUCGAGCGUCAGAGAGAUACACCAGAAAAGUCUUCCUGUUGUUCCAGGAAGAGUACGUUCGUACUCUGGAUCUCUUCGCAGAAGUUAGUGAUGAGGAUGGGACAAAUUUCACGUACAAGGUAUCAUCUUUCGAGAAUGUUAAACCAUGCAUUGUUAGAUAUGACACUUCAGAUAAUACCGUGAAAUGUAGCUGCAGAAAAUUUGAGUUCAUGGGUAUAUUAUGUGCUCAUGCUCUAAAAGUAUUGCAUAGCCGGAGGUUGCUUGAUAUCCCGUUACAGUAUUAUUUAAAAAGGUGGACAAAAGAUGCAAGAUCCGGUGCUGUAGUAAAUGAUGACAAUCAGUCGGUUAACCUUGCUUCUUGUUCGCCCAUAACUGUGCAACGUAACGAGCUGGCGCACAUGGCACAUACCUUAGCUGUGAAGGGUUCAACCAGUGAAAAAUCUAGUGCUUUUGCCAGAAGACUACUGACGCAAGCGCUAGAAGAGAUGGACAUAUUUCUAGAAAUUGAUUUCAAUCAGCCGAAAUCAACAUAACCCAAAUCCAGAAGACCCGUUUGAUUAAUAAGAUUUAUUUGAUGAUGAAAUUGCCGUGGUUGAGUAGUUGAAGAACUAACUGUUUCAUUUGAGUUAAGUGUAAAGUUUAAAUCACCCAAUGAAAUCUGAGAGUUGAUAGUAUUGUAAUGGGAAAGUGACACACCCAUCUUAGAAGGAUGCAUCUGGGAAGAUCAGGAAAUGAACGAGCAAAUGUCUGUCGGACCUCCCACUCCAGAAAGCUAUAGAAAAAGAGCACUAGAGGGCCAUCAGCUGUUUGUAGUUUGUCAGACCUCAUACUUCCCUCUAUACGGGCUAAAAUUUGCUGAGACUUUUAAGUUAUUACAGGGGAUUACUGAUAACCAAAAGAACGAAAAAAGCUGAACAAAUAGGAGUAUCUUGCUUCUCCUGGCAAGAACUAUCCUCACUGGUAACAGCUUGAAAUUUAUUUGUUUUGCUUUGAACUAACUUUAUGCUGAUUGAGUAGUAAUUAGUCGUCUUUACACGAGCACUCUGAUUCAGGCUAUCUUAUUUCAAUGACGAAAUAUGACCAAAUAUUUUUCUAGGGAAGGCGACAUCAUAACGUACACGAGUAGAAUGAAGAGUGGUAUAUGCACGACCAAUUUUUUUUUAGGGUUCUUUCUUUCCUCACAAUGUCUUACACAGAAAAUUUGAAGAAUGUACAUGAAGGUAUUGAAGUCUUAGCAGACAAGAUGGACAAUCUUGUCGAGACUAUUACUAACCUUCAUGUCCUUGAUGAAGAGACUCAAAAGAAGAAGAUGGCAGAUAAGUUGCUGCUCCGUGAACAAGAACGUACUGCUCUCGCCACACAGCUUGCCAAUCCACGGAAACCUCUUUCCGCAAUGUAUUUAGAGAAUUUUUACCUCUGCUACAACAACGCCCUUGUUCCCCUCCACCACCUCCACCACCUCCACCACAAAAUCAUGGUCAACCACAACAGUUGCGCCCUAAUAUGAAAUUUCCCACCUUUGCUGGUGAAGACCCUGAUGGCUGGAUUUUCAAUGCAGACCAAUAUUUUAGUGUUUACAAUACAUCUGAUGCUCUUAAAAUUAUUGUCGCCUCUGCUCAUCUUAAAGGUGAGGCCAACCAAUGGUUUCGAUGGAGAAGAACCAAAACUGCAGUCAAUUCUUGGGAACAGUUUUGUACUUUGGUUCGUGAAAGAUUUGCUAUGUAGAAAUUUGUUAACGCUCGAUUAGCUGUUAGCACAAUUAAUCAGAAAGGUACGGUCCGUAAACAUAUCUCUGAAUUUGAGCAUCUAACUUUGUUGAUUUCCUGAGGAUUA